GGAGCAUGUGGUUUAAUUCGAUGCAACGCGAAGAACCUUACCUGGUCUUGACAUCCACAGAACUUUCCAGAGAUGGAUUGGUGCCUUCGGGAACUGUGAGACAGGUGCUGCAUGGCUGUCGUCAGCUCGUGUUGUGAAAUGUUGGGUUAAGUCCCGCAACGAGCGCAACCCUUAUCCUUUGUUGCCAGCGAUUAGGUCGGGAACUCAAAGGAGACUGCCAGUGAUAAACUGGAGGAAGGUGGGGAUGACGUCAAGUCAUCAUGGCCCUUACGACCAGGGCUACACACGUGCUACAAUGGCGCAUACAAAGAGAAGCGACCUCGCGAGAGCAAGCGGACCUCAUAAAGUGCGUCGUAGUCCGGAUUGGAGUCUGCAACUCGACUCCAUGAAGUCGGAAUCGCUAGUAAUCGUGGAUCAGAAUGCCACGGUGAAUACGUUCCCGGGCCUUGUACACACCGCCCGUCACACCAUGGGAGUGGGUUGCAAAAGAAGUAGGUAGCUUAACCUUCGGGAGGGCGCUUACCACUUUGUGAUUCAUGACUGGGGUGAAGUCGUAACAAGGUAACCGUAGGGGAACCUGCGGUUGGAUCACCUCCUUACCUUAAAGAA
rnacentral:rRNA from 1 species